rnacentral:rRNA from 1 species
UACGGAGGGGGCGAGCGUUAUUCGGAAUUAUUGGGCGUAAAGGGUGCGUAGGCGGCUUUGCAAGUGACGGGUGAAAUCCCUCGGCUUAACCGAGGAACUGCCUGUCAAACUGCAUGGCUUGAGACCGGGAGAGGUGAGUGGAAUUCCCAGUGUAGCGGUGAAAUGCGUAGAUAUUGGGAGGAACACCAGUGGCGAAGGCGGCUCACUGGACCGGUACUGACGCUGAUGCGCGAAAGCGUGGGGAGCAAACAGG